UACAGAGGUGGCAAGCGUUGUUCGGAAUUACUGGGCGUAAAGGGCGCGUAGGCGGCAAUUCAAGUCAGCUGUGAAAUCUCCGAGCUUAACUCGGAACGGUCAGCUGAUACUGUUUUGCUAGAGUGCAGAAAGGGCAACCGGAAUUCUUGGUGUAGCGGUGAAAUGCGUAGAUAUCAAGAGGAACACCUGAGGCGAAGGCGGGUUGCUAGGCUGACACUGACGCUGAGGCGCGAAAGCUAGGGUAGCAAACGGG
rnacentral:rRNA from 1 species